AUUGAACGCUGGCGGCAUGCUUUACACAUGCAAGUCGAACGGUAACAGGCCUUCGGGUGCUGACGAGUGGCGAACGGGUGAGUAAUGCAUCGGAACGUACCCAGAGGUGGGGGAUAACGCAGCGAAAGCUGUGCUAAUACCGCAUGUGAUCUGAGGAUGAAAGCGGGGGACCGAGCAGCAAUGUUUGGCCUCGCGCCUUUGGAGCGGCCGAUGUCGGAUUAGCUAGUUGGUGGGGUAAAGGCCUACCAAGGCGACGAUCCGUAGCUGGUCUGAGAGGACGACCAGCCACACUGGGACUGAGACACGGCCCAGACUCCUACGGGAGGCAGCAGGGGGGAAUUUUGGACAAUGGGCGCAAGCCUGAUCCAGCAAUGCCGCGUGCGGGAAGAAGGCCUUCGGGUUGUAAACCGCUUUUGGCAGGAACGAAACGGUGUCCGCUAAUACCGGGCGCUAAUGACGGUACCUGCAGAAUAAGCACCGGCUAACUACGUG
rnacentral:rRNA from 1 species